AGGGCACCACCAGGAGUGGAGCCUGCGGCUUAAUUUGACUCAACACGGGAAAACUCACCCGGCCCGGACACUGGAAGGAUUGACAGAUUGAGAGCUCUUUCUUGAUUCAGUGGGUGGUGGUGCAUGGCCGUUCUUAGUUGGUGGAGUGAUUUGUCUGGUUAAUUCCGAUAACGAACGAGACUCUAGCCUAUUAAAUAGAUCGUUGGCUUACAAACGCCGGCGAGACUUCUUAGAGGGACAGGCGGCGAUUCAGCCGCACGAAACAGAGCAAUAACAGGUCUGUGAUGCCCUUAGAUGUCCGGGGCCGCACGCGCGCUACACUGAAGUGAUCAGCGUGCAUUUUGAAACCUACUCUGUCAAGAGUGGGGAACCCAAUGAACCUUCUUCGUGAUUGGGAUAGGGGAUUGUAAUUAUUCCCCUUGAACGAGGAAUUCCCAGUAAGCGCGAAUCAUAAGUUUGCGCUGAUUACGUCCCUGCCCUUUGUACACACCGCCCGUCGCUACUGCCGAUUGAAUGUUU
rnacentral:rRNA from 1 species